AUGCGUGCAGGCAUAGAGGAGGUCUUUCCGUUGGCAGUGCACAGGCACUGCAGGUGGCACAUUAUAAAGAAGGCCGACGAGACGCUAGGACCGUUCUUUGCAGACCGUCCAGAGUUGCACAAGGCAUUCGAGUUGUGCAUGGACCAUAGCUUGACGGUGGAGGAGUUUUAAAGGAGCUGGAUGGCCAUGAUUGAAACAUAUCAAGUCCAAGACAACGAGACUCUUGCUAGCCUGUGGGAGAAGCGAAUGUACUAGGUGCCGGCCUACUUCAUGCAGUGCUUCUUCCCAUUUCUGCAUACUACGCAGCGCAGCGAGGGGUUUAAUGCUGUUUUGAAGCGGUACGUGAGCCCUGGCAACUCAUUGCUACAGUUUGCCAAGCAAUACACAACUUUGCAACAAAAAAUACUGGGAUCUGAGCUACAGCAAGAAGCGAACACCGCGCUAAAGCAGCCAAAUUGCUAA
rnacentral:rRNA from 1 species